GCGGCCUCAGUGCUACAGUUUGCUUCGUAUCAAGAGACGCGUUACAGCAGACAGCAAGCGACAUGAAUAAGUACUUGGUGGCGCUGGUCGGCGUGCUGCUGGUGAUGUCCCUGGCCGGGGCGCACCAGAGGACGGCUCGCGAGGCUGGCUACGAGGGCGGCAGUGGUCGCGGGGGCGGCGGCAGCAGGGCCGGCAGUGGCCACGCCCUCGUCACAGGCGGCUCCUCCGGGCACCGCUGUGACUGCCCAGACUAUCCCGGCUGCGAGUGCCCUAGCUAGACGGACGCCUGUCUCCGGCCACAGCCCAGACCCCGCAACGCAUCCAAACGACGAAACAGCACCUGCACUUCAGUCCGUAACAUCGCUGUUGGAUCUCGAAUAACACGAACUGUAAUAUUGCGCAAAAUCAACUUAUCAGUUCUACAAUAAAGUGUACUACUACAUUUCCUUUCAUUACAUUCCAGAUAGACAUCAGCUUAGCUGCAGUCUCUUUCUGUUCCUAUCCUACAAUGCAGAGUAUACAAAACCGAAUUCGUUUUCUACGUUUAUGUACUCACAGUAACUGAGAAAUAAAAAUCGCACCUGCAUCGUGUAGGAUCAUUAAUGUGUUAUACAAUUUUUGGAAUAUGCAAUGUUAAGUCAAAAAUGUAUCGAAAUAAAGAAAUUCUAGAAUGAGAU